AACGCGAAGAACCUUACCUGGGCUCGAACGGCUUCCCAACGGCGGUGGAAACACCGCUAUCCCGCAAGGGAGUGGAGUCGAGGUGCUGCAUGGCUGUCGUCAGCUCGUGUCGUGAGAUGUUGGGUUAAGUCCCGCAACGAGCGCAACCCUCGUCCUGUGUUGCCAUCCCGCAAGGGGGCACUCGCAGGAGACCGCCAGCGAUAAGCUGGAGGAAGGUGGGGAUGACGUCAAGUCCUCAUGGCCUUUAUGUCCAGGGCUACACACGUGCUACAAUGGCCGGUACAAAGCGUUCCCAAGCCGCGAGGUGGAGGCAAUCGCAAAAAACCGGUCUCAGUUCGGAUUGCAGGCUGCAACUCGCCUGCAUGAAGCUGGAAUCGCUAGUAAUGGCAGAUCAGCACGCUGCCGUGAAUACGUUCCCGGGCCUUGUACACACCGACUGUAC
rnacentral:rRNA from 1 species